rnacentral:rRNA from 1 species
UAUGGAAUCUUCCGCAAUGGGCGAAAGCCUGACGGAGCAACGCCGCGUGAGUGAUGAAGGUCUUCGGAUCGUAAAACUCUGUUAUUAGGGAAGAACAAAUGUGUAAGUAACUAUGCACGUCUUGACGGUACCUAAUCAGAAAGCCACGGCUAACUACGUGCCAGCAGCCGCGGUAAUACGUAGGUGGCAAGCUUUAUCCGGAAUUAUUGGGCGUAAAGCGCGCGUAGGCGGUUUUUUAAGUCUGAUGUGAAAGCCCACGGCUCAACCGUGGAGGGUCAUUGGAAAAUGGAAAACUUGAGUGCAGAAGAGGAAAGUGGAAUUCCAUGUGUAGCGGUGAAAUGCGCAGAGAUAUGGAGGAACAACAGUGGUGAAGGCGACUUUCUGGUCUGUAACUGACGAUGAUGUGCGAAAGCGUGGGGAUCAAACAGG